rnacentral:rRNA from 1 species
GGGCCCGCACAAGCGGUGGAGCAUGUGGUUUAAUUCGAUGCAACGCGAAAAACCUUACCAGGCCUUGACAUCCUGAGAACUUUCUAGAGAUAGAUUGGUGCCUUCGGGAACUCAGUGACAGGUGUUGCAUGGCUGUCGUCAGCUCGUGUCGUGAGAUGUUGGGUUAAGUCCCGUAACGAGCGCAACCCUUAUCCUUAUUUUGCCAGCACGUAAUGGUGGGAACUCUAAGGAGACUGCCGGUGACAAACCGGAGGAAGGAGAGGAUGAUGUCAAGUCAUCAUGGCCCUUACGGCCUGGGCUACACACGUGCUACAAUGGAGAGUACAGAGGGCCGCAAACCCGCGAGGGGAGCUAA